GCCACAAUAGCUCAGUUGGUAGAGCCACCGUCUUGUAAGCGGUAGGUCGUCGGUUCGAGUCCGACUUGUGGCUCCA
rnacentral:tRNA from 1 species